rnacentral:lncRNA from 1 species
AGCCGCCGCUCGACACCGUCAAGUCUCACCCCCGAGCACUAGCGUCGUGAUCCGCGCGGAGAGCCCAGCCGUCGAGCAAGAUCCCCUCGGCGGCCUCCUGCUCCUCGCCGGCGAGGCCCUCGAACGAGCAACCAAAUCCAGGUGAGAUUCUCUUCCUUCUCUCUUCUGUGCAUCCCUUCCUCUGUCCGGAGUCGAUUUAAGGCGUGAGGUAGAGAUGCAGCUCCGUAUUCAUCUUCAUUCUUUUUGCUUGCUACUUUUAUGACUCCACAAAGAGUACAAGAGCCUAAGCGUACAAAUUCUUCUGCUUCAUCUCAAUUUUGAGCGGUUUAUUUUCAUAUAGAUCACUUAUUUGAGUAGAGAUAUGACAACUUUCGCACUGGAAAAUGCUGUAAUAUCAUGCAAAAUUGAGGAAUCAUGUAUAUGCUGAAAAAUAUCACUGUUUGACUUUUAAAUUUCAGAGUCUACUAUUUGUGUAAUGUAUGCGCCCCCAUAAACUGCACCUACAUUUAAAUUUUAUCUGGCCACAAUUGUGAGAAAGUUUAGGGUAAUGAACAAACAAACAAAAGGUACGCAGUCUUCAAUUAGCAGGAAUACUUCUGGAAAAUUGUACAUUUGAAAAAAAAAACAAUUUUAAUCAUGCAGCUUGCCAUGCUUUCUUGCAGGAAGGACACACCCUUUAGGGUUAUUAAUCGUAUUUUUUAUCGCUCGACAGAGCUUGUGCAUAUCGCCAGGAUUUGAGUAUUCAGAAGCCCACAAAUAGAGGCACUAUUUGAACUCAAUUUUGUCAUGGUUUACAGUCAGGUUACAUCUGACCCACAACUUAUAUAUGGGCUGUUUGGUUCCCAGCCACAACUUGCCACACUUUGACACGCCUCAUAUUAGGCAAGAUUGACCAAAUUAGGUAGGUGUUUGGUUCUAGCCACACCUAAGGUAAGAAUAUUUUUAUGACCAGUGAACCCCACCGAAGGAAAUAUGCCUUAGAGGCAAUAAUAAAGUUGUUAUUUAUAUUUCCUUAUAUCAUGAUAAAUGUUUAUUAUUCAUGCUAGAAUUGUAUUAACCGGAAACUUAGUACAUGUGUGAAUACAUAGACAAACAGAGUGUCCCUAGUAUGCCUCUACUUGACUAGCUCGUUAAUCAAAGAUGGUUAAGUUUCCUAACCAUAGACAUGUGUUGUCAUUUGGUGAACGGGAUCACAUCAUUAGAGAAUGAUGUGAUGGACAAGACCCAUCCAUUAGCUUAGCAUAAUGAUCAUUUUAUUUUAUUGCUAUUGCUUUCUUCAUGACUUAUACAUGUUCCUCUGACUAUGAGAUUAUGCAACUCCCGAAUAUCGGAGGAACACCUUGUGUGCUAUCAAACGUCACAACGUAACUGAGUGAUUAUAAAAAUGCUCUAAAGGUGUCUCCGAAGGUGUUUGUUGGGUUGGCAUAGAUCGAGAUUAGGAUUUUUCACUCCGAGUAUCGGAGAGGUAUCCGAGCCAGGUCUAUGCGUAGAUGUUAUAUGCACGAGUAGAACACAAAGAGUUCUGCGCGAUAAUAGUCAUACUGCUUACCACUAACGCCUUACUUUGAUUUGGCAGUAUUGUUGGAUGAAGCGGCCCGGACAGACAUUACAUGACCGCUUUCAUGAGACUGGUUCUACCGACGUGCUUCGCACAUAGGUGGCUAGCGGGUGUCAGUUUCUCCAACUUUAGUUGAACCGAGUUUGACUACGAUCGGUCCUUGUUGAAGGUUAAAACAACACACUUGACAAAAAAUCAUUGUGGUUUUGAUGCGUGGGUAAGAACAGUUCUUGCUAGAAGCCCGUAGCGGCCACGUAAAACUUGCAACAACAAAGUAGAGGACGUCUAACUUGUUUUUGCAGGGCAUGUUGUGAUGUGAUAUGGUCAAGACGUGAUGAGAUAUAAAUUGUUGUAUGAAAUGAUCAUGUUUUGUAACCGUUAUCGGCAACUGGCAGGAGCCUUAUGGUUGUCGCUUUAUUGUAUGAAAUGCAAUCGCCAUAUAAUUGCUUUACUUUAUCACUAAGUGGUAGUGAUAGCUGUAGAAGCAAUAGUUGGCGAGACGACAACGAUGCUACGAUGGAGAUCAAGGUGUCAAGCCGGUGACGAUGGAGAUCAUGACGGUGCUUUGGAGAUGAAGAUCAAAGUCACAAGAUGAUGAUGGCCAUAUCAUGUCACAUAUUUUGAUUGCAUGUGAUGUUUAUCCUUUAUGCAUCUUAUUUUGCUUAGUAUAGCGGUAGCAUUAUAAGAUGAUCUCUCACUAAAUUUCAAGGUAUAAGUGUUCUCCCUAAGUAUGCACCAUUGCUACAGUUCGUCGUGUCGAGACACCACGUGAUGAUCGGGUGUGAUAAGCUCUACGUUCACAUACAACGGGUGCAAGCCAGUUUUGCACGUGCAAAAUAUUUGGGUUAAACUUGACGAGCCUAGCAUAUGCAGAUAUGGCCUCGGAACACUGAGACCGAAAGGUCGAGCGUGAAUCAUAUAGUAGAUAUGAUCAACAUAGUGAUGUUCACCAUUGAAAACUACUCCAUCUCACGUGAUGAUCGGACAUGGUUUAGUUGAUAGAUCACGUGAUCAUUUAGAUGACUAGAGGGAUGUCAAUCUAAGUGGGAGUUCUUAAAUAAUAUGAUUAAUUGAACUUUAAUUUAUCAUGAACUUAGUACCCGAUAGUUUUUGCAUGUUAUGUUGUUGUAGAUCAAUGGCCCGUGCUACCGUUCCCUUGAAUUUUAAUGCGUUCCUAGAGAAAGCUAAGUUGAAAGAUGAUGGUAGCAAUUACACGGACUGGGUCCGUAACUUGAGGAUUAUCCUCAUUGCUGCACAGAAGAAUUAUGUCCUAGAAGCACCGCUAGGUGUACCACCUGCGCCAACAACUGCAGACAUUGUGAAUGCCUGGCAGUCGCGUGUUGAUGACUACUCGAUAGUUCAGUGUGCCAUGCUCUACGGCUUAGAAUCGGGACUUCAAAGACGUUUUGAACAUAAUGGAGCAUAUGAGAUGUUCCAGGAGUUGAAGUUAAUAUUUCAAGCAAAUGCCCGGGUUGAGAGAUAUGAAGUCUCCAACAAGUUCUAUAGCUGCAAGAUGGAGGAGAAUAGUUCUGUCAGUGAACAUAUACUCAGAAUGUCUGGGUACCACAACCACUUGACUCAACUGGGAGUUAAUCUUCCUGAUGAUAGUGUCAUUGACAGAGUUCUUCAAUCACUGCCACCAAGCUACAAAAGCUUCGUGAUGAACUAUAAUAUGCAAGGGAUGGAUAAGACAAUUCCCGAGCUCUUCGCGAUGCUAAAGGCUGCGGAGGUAGAAAUCAAGAAGGAGCAUCAAGUGUUUAUGGUUAACAAGACCACUAGUUUCAAGAAAAAGGGCAAAGGGAAGAAGGGUAACUUCAAGAAGAACGCCAAGCAAGUUGUUGCUCAAGUGAAGAAACCCAAGUCUGGACCUAAGCCUGAGACUGAGUGCUUUUACUGCAAACAGAAUGGUCACUGGAAGCAAAACUGCACCAAGUAUUUGGCGGAUAAGAAGGAUGGCAAAGUGAAAGGUAUAUAUUUGAUAUACAUGUUAUUGAUGUGUACCUUACUAAUUCUCGUAUUAGCGCCUGGGUAUUUGAUACUGGUUCUGUUGCUCAUAUUUGCAACUCGAAACAGGGGCUACGGAUUAAACGAAGGUUGGCUAAGGACGAGGUGACGAUGGGCGUGGGAAAUGGUUCCAAAUUCGAUGUGAUCACCGUCGGCACGCUACCUCUACAUCUACCUUCGGGAUUAGUUUUAGACCUGAAUAAUUGUUAUUUGGUGCCAGCGUUAAGCAUGAAUAUUAUAUCUGGAUCUUGUUUGAUGUGAGACGGUUAUUCAUUUAAAUUAGAGAACAAUGGUUGUUCUAUUUAUAUGAGUAAUAUCUUUUAUGGUCGUGCACCCUUGAUGAGUGGUCUAUUUUCCUUGAAUCUUGAUUGUAGUGAUACACAAAGAUGCAAGGUUAAUAAUGAUAGUGCAACUUAUUUGUGGCACUGCCGUUUAGGUCAUAUUGGUGUAAAGCUGUAGGAUCGAAAGUAUNNNNNNNNNNNNNNNNNNNNNNNNNNNNNNNNNNNNNNNNNNNNNNNNNNNNNNNNNNNNNNNNNNNNNNNNNNNNNNNNNNNNNNNNNNNNNNNNNNNNNNNNNNNNNNNNNNNNNNNNNNNNNNNNNNNNNNNNNNNNNNNNNNNNNNNNNNNNNNNNNNNNNNNNNNNNNNNNNNNNNNNNNNNNNNNNNNNNNNNNNNNNNNNNNNNNNNNNNNNNNNNNNNNNNNNNNNNNNNNNNNNNNNNNNNNNNNNNNNNNNNNNNNNNNNNNNNNNNNNNNNNNNNNNNNNNNNNNNNNNNNNNNNNNNNNNNNNNNNNNNNNNNNNNNNNNNNNNNNNNNNNNNNNNNNNNNNNNNNNNNNNNNNNNNNNNNNNNNNNNNNNNNNNNNNNNGAUUAGACUACUUGACCAAAUAAAAAUCUAACCUUUUCCCAAUUUUAAGUCUUGGCAGAUUUUAGCAACUUAGAGAAAGUCAAGCAAUCAACCUACACAUGCAAGUCUAAGAGUAUAGCAGCGGAAUGUAAAACAUUGCACAUGAAGGUGAAGGGAGGAGUUUGGAGGGAGCAAACGCAAUGUAGACACGGAGAUUUUUGGCGUGGUUCCGAUAGGUGGUGCUAUCGUACAUCCACGUUGAUGGAGACUUCAACCCACGAAGGGUAACGGUUGCGCGAGUCCACGGAGGGCUCCACCCAUGAAGGGUCCACGAAGAAGCAACCUUUUCUGUCCCACCAUGGCCAUCGCCCAUGAAGGACUUGCCUCACUAGGGUAGAUCUUCACGAAGUAGGCGAUCUCCUUGCCCGUACAAACUCCUUGGUUCAACUCCACAAUCUUGACGGAGGCUCCCAAGUGACACCUAACCAAUCUAGGAGACACCACUCUCCAAAAGGUAAUAGAUGAUGUGUUGAUGAUGAACUCCUUGCUCUUGUGCUUCAAAUGAUAGUCUCCCCAACACUCAACUCUCUCUCACGGAUUUGGAUUUGGUGGAAAGAUGAUUUGAGUGGAAAGCAACUUGGAGAAGGCUAGAGAUCAAGAUUUAUGUGGUUGGAAUGGAAUAUCUUGACCUCAACACAUGAGUAGGUGGUUCUCUCUCAGAAAAUGUAUGCUGAAAGUGUAGGCAUGUUCUGUUGGCUCUCUCCACGAAUGAAGAGUGGGUGGAGGGGUAUAUAUAGCCUCCACACAAAAUCUAACCGUUACACACAAUUCACCAAACUCGGUGGGACCGAAUCAGAAAACUCGGUCAGACCGAUUCAGUUCAAAAUGUGAACGUUAGGCUUUUCGGUGGGACCGACAUGUCAACUCAGUGGGACCGAUUUCAUUAGGGUUAGGGCAUAAUGUAAUCUCGGUGAGACCGAUUACACAAACUCGGUGAAACCGACUUUGGUAAUAAGCUAACCAGAGAGUUGGUCAGGCAAACUCGGUGGGACCGAUUCGCUCAUUUCGGUGUGACCGAAAUGUUACGAAGGGGAAACAGAGAGUUUGCAUUGCGAACUCGGUGGGACCGAUCGCUCAUCUCGGUUAGACUGAAAUGUUACGAAGGGAAACAGAGAGUUUGCAAUCCCAUCUCGGUGAGACCGAGAUCCCUAUCGGUGACAUCGAAGUGACUAUGGUUUCUGGCAGUGGUUAUGUCAAAUGAACUCGGUGGCGCCGGAUAGAACAUUUCGGUGGGGCCGAGUUUGAAUUUUGGUUUGGGACAUAUGUGGAUAUGAGAAAGUGGUUGAGGGUUUUUGGUGCAUAUCACUAAGCAUUUUGAGCAAGUAAGCCAUUAAGCAACACCUCAUCCCCUUUUAAUAGUAUUGGCUUUUCCUACGGACUCAAUGUGAUCUUGGAUCACUGAAAUGAAGAUGUAGAGUCUUGAUCUUGAGCCAAUACGUGUCCUUAGCAUUUUGAGGGGUCCACAUUCCUAAUCCAUGCCAUGCCAAUCACUGAACUUUCUGAAAUGAUCAUCUUGGAAUAGCAUUAGUUCAAUGAGCUAUAUGUUGUUAGUAAUUACCAAAACCACCCUGGGAUAGUUGCACUUUCAAAAGCCCAUGAAGAAACUCCAUGCUGAUGGACUUUUGGAAUCACUUGAUGCUUGCGAACCAUGCCUCAUGGGCAAGAUGACUAAGACUCCGUUCUCCGGAACAAUGGAGUGAGCAACAAACUUGUUGGAAAUAAUACAUACUGAUAUAUGCGGUCAGAUGAGUGUUGAGGCUCGCGGCGGGUAUCGUUAUUUUUUGACCUUCACAGAUGAUUUGAGCAGAUAUGGGUAUAUCUACUUGAUGAAAUAUAAGUCUGAAACAUUUCAAAAGUUCAAAGAAUUUCAGAGCAAAGUGGAAAAUCAUCGUAACAAGAAAAUAAAGUUUCUACGAUCUGAUCAUGGAGGUGAAUAUUUGAGUUAUGAGUUUGGUCUUCAUUUGAAACAACAUGGAAUAGUUUCGCAACUCACACCACCUGGAACACCACAGCGUAAUGGUGUGUCCGAACAUCGUAACCGUACUUUAUUAGAUAUGGUGCGAUCUAUGGUGCCUUACUGAUUUACCACUAUCGUUUUGGGGUUAUGCUUUAGAGACGGCUGCAUUCACGUUAAAUAGGGCACCAUCUAAAUCCGUUGAGACGACACCAUAUGAACUGUGGUUUGGCAAGAAACCUAAGCCGUCGUUUCUUAAAGUUUGGGGUUGCGAUGCUUAUGUGAAAAAGCUUCAAGUGGAUAAGCUUGAACCCAAAUCGGAGAAAUGUGUCUUCAUAGGAUACCCAAAGGAGACUGUUGGGUACACCUUCUACCACAGAUCCGAAGGCAAGAUAUUCGUUGCUAAGAACGGAUCCUUUCAAGAGAAGGAGUUUUUCUUGAAAGAAGUGAGUGGGAGGAAAGUAGAACUUGAUGAGGUAAUUGUACCUUCUCCUGAAUUGGGAAGUAGUUCAUCACAGAAAUCAGUUCCAGUGAUUACUACACCAAUCAGUGAGGAAGCUAAUGAUGAUGAUCAUGAAACUUUAGAUCAAGUUACUACCGAACCUCGUAGGUCAACCAGAGUAAGGUCCGCACCAGAGUGGUACGAUAAUCCUGUUCUAGAGGUCAUGUUACUUUACCAUGACGAACCUACGAACUAUGAGGAAGCGAUGAUGAGCCCAGAUUCCGCGAAAUGGCUUGAGGCCAUGAAAUCUGAGAUGGGAUCCAUGUAUGAGAACAAAGUGUGGACUUUGGUUGACUUGCCCGAUGAUCGGCAAUCCAUAGAGAAUAAAUGGAUCUUCAAGAAGAAGACUAACGCUGACGGUAAUGUUACUAUCUACAAAGCUCGACUUGUUGCGAAAGGUUUUCGACAAGUUCAAGGAGUUGAAAUGAUAAGACCUUCUCACCCGUAGCGAUGCUUAAGUCUGUCCGAAUCAUGUUAGCAAUUGCUGCAUUUUAUGAGUAUGAAAUCUGGCAAAUGGAUGUCAAAACUGCAUUCCUUAAUGGAUAUCUUAAAGAAGAGUUGUAUAUGAUGCAACCAAAAGGUUUUGUCGAUCCAAAAGGUUCUAAGAAAGUGUGCAAGCUCCAGCUAUCCAUUUAUGGACUGGUGCAAGACUCUUGGAGUUGGAAUAUACGCUUUGAUAGUGUGAUCAAAGCAUAUGGUUUUAUACAGACUUUUGGAGAAGCCUGUAUUUACAAGAAAGUGAGUGGGAGCUCUGUCGAAUUUCUGAUAUUAUAUGUGGAUGACAUAUUGUUGAUCGGAAAUGAUAUAGAAUUUCUGGAUAGCAUAAAAGGAUACUUGAAUAAGAUUUUUUCAGUGAAAGACCUCGGUGAAGCUGCUUAUAUAUUGGGCAUCAAGAUCUAUAUAGAUAGAUCAAGAUGCUUAAUUGGACUUUCACAAAGCACAUACCUUGAUAAAGUUUUGAAGAAGUUCAAAAUGGAUCAGUCAAAGAAAGGGUUCUUACCUGUGUUACAAGGUGUGAAGUUGAGUCAGACUCAAUGCCCGACCACUGCAGAAGAUAGAGAGAAAAUGAAAGUCAUUCCCUAUGCCUUAGCCAUAGGUUCUAUCAUGUAUGCAAUACUGUGUACCAGACCUGAUGUGUGCCUUGCUAUUAGUUUAGCAGGGAGAUACCAAAGAAAUCCAGGAGUGGAUCACUGGACAACGGUCAAGAACAUCCUGGAAUACCUGAAAAGGACUAAGGAUAUGUUUCUCGUUUAUGGACGUGACAAAGAGCUCGUCGUAAAUGGUUACAUCGAUGCAAGCUUUGACACUGAUCCGGAUGACUCUAAGUCACAAACCGGAUACAUAUUUAUAUUGAAUGGUGGAGCUGUCAGUUGGUGCAGUUCAAAGCAAAGCGUCGUGACGGGAUCUACGUGUGAAGCGGAGUACAUAGAUGCUUUGGAAGCAGCAAAUGAAGGAGUCUGGAUGAAGGAGUUCAUAUCCGAUCUAGGUGUAAUACCUAGUGCAUCGGGUCCAAUGAAAAUCUUUCGUGACAAUACUGGAGCAAUAGCCUUGGCGAAGGAAUCCAGAUUUCACAAGAGAACCAACACAUCAAGAGACGCUUCAAUUCCAUCCGCGAUCAAGUCAAGGAGGGAGACAUAGAGAUUUGCAAAAUACAUACGGAUCUGAAUGUUGCAGACCCGUUGACUAAGCCUCUCUCACGAGCAAAACAUGAUCAGCACCAAGACUCCAUGGGUUUUGGAAUCAUUACUAUGUAAUGUAGAUUAUUGACUCUAGUGCAAGUGGGAGACUGAAGAAAUAUGCCCUCGAGGCAAUAAUAAAGUUGUUAUUUAUAUUUCCUUAUAUCAUGAUAAAUGUUUAUUAUUGAUGCUAGAAUUGUAUUAACCAGAAACUUAGUACAUGUGUGAAUACAUAGACAAACAGAGUGUCACUAGUAUGCCUCUACUUGACUAGCUCGUUAAUCAAAGAUGGUUAAGUUUCCUAACCAUAGACAUGUGUUGUUAUUUGGUGAAUGGGAUCACAUCAUUAAAGAAUGAUGUGAUGGACAAGACCCAUCCGUUAGCUUAGCAUAAUGAUCGUUUAGUUUUAUUGCUAUUGCUUUCUUCAUGACUUAUACAUGUUCCUCUGACUAUGAGAUUAUGCAACUCCCGAAUACCGGAGGAACACCUUGUGUGCUAUCAAACAUCACAAUGUAACUGGGUGAUUAUAAAGAUGCUCUACAGGUGUCUCCGAAGGUGUUUGUUGAGUUGGCAUAGAUCAAGAUUAGGAUUUUUCACUCCGUGUAUCGGAGAGGUAUCUCUAGGCCCUCUCGGUAAUGCACAUCACUAUAAGCCUUGCAAGCAAUGUGACUAAUGAGUUAGUUGCGGGAUGAUACAUUACGGAACGAGUAAAGAGACUUGCCAUUAACAAGAUUGAACUAGGUAUGAGGAUACCGACGAUCGAAUCUCGGGCAAGUAACAUACCGAUGACAAAGGGAACAACGUAUGUUGUUAUGUGGUUUAACCGAUAAAGAUCUUCGUAGAAUAUGUAGGAGCCAAUAUGAGCAUCCAGGUUCCGCUAUUGGUUAUUGACCGGAGAUGUGUAUCGGUCAUGUCUACAUAGUUCUCGAACCCGUAGGGUCUGCACACUUAACGUUCGAUGACAGUUUGUAUUAUGAGUUAUGUGAUUUGAUGACCAAAGUUUGUUUGGAGUCUCGGAUGAGAUAACGGACAUGACAAGGAGUCUCGAAUGGUCGAGAGGUAAAGAUUCAUAUAUUGGAAGGUUACAUUCGGACACCGGAAUGGUUUCAGGAAGUAUCGGAUAAGUUUUGGAGUACCGGGAGGUUACCGGAACCCCCCGGGAAGGUUAUGGGCCAACAUCGGCCUUAGUGGAGGAGAGAGGGACGACCAUAGGAGGUGGCGCACGCCCCCCUUGCCAAUCCGAAUUGGACAAGGGGUGGGGGUGGCGCCCCCCUUUCCCUCUCCUACUCCUUCUCUCUUUCCCCCUUUGCUACUCUGGAAAAGGAAAAAGAAAGGGGAAUCCUACUAGGACUUGGGAGUCCUAGUAGGACUCCCCACACUUGGCGCGCCCCUAGGGGCCCUUCCUCCUCCUCCCCCUCCUUUAUAUACGUGGGAGGGGGGCGCCCCAAACACACACCAAGUCUUCUCUUAGCCGUGUGCGGUGCCCCCCUCCACAGUUACACACCUCGGUCAUAUCGUCGUAGUGCUUAGGCGAAGCCCUGCGCCGGUAACUUCAUCAUCACUAUUGCCACGCCGUCAUGCUGACCGAACUCUCCCUCGUCCUCAACUGGAUCAAGAGUUCGAGGGACGUCAUCGUGGUGAACGCGGAGGUGCCAUACGUUCGGUACUUGGAUCGGUUGGAUCGUGAAGACAUUCGACUACAUCAACCGUGUUACUAAACGCUUCCGCUUUCGGUCUACGAGGGUACGUGGACACACUCUCCCCACUCGUUGCUAUGCUUCUCCUAGAUAGAUCUUGCAUGUUUGUAGGAUUUUUUUUGAAAUACUACGAUUCCCAACACCCACAUGUCAUAGGCACAAAAAGUGUGGCAAGAUUCCCUUAGGCAAGCUAAAGUGUGGCUAACAAUUUGAGCAACUCAAGUGAGGCAAGUGUGGCAAAAGUCAUGUGGAAAUAUAUGGCAAAUAUAGUCAUAAUCCAAACAGCCCCAUAGUGUCAUGUUUUAUUCAACAUAUACUCAAUAAUUAGAUCAUGUCAGUAAUUAGAACAUAUCAACAGGGAACUAUCAUGGAUGAAGUGGUGCCAAUACACCGAAUUAACAAGUUCAGGCACAAUCUGAAAGAAUGCUUCAUCUAGCGAUUGCAUGUUUCCCUUCUCGAUUCUAGCGG